rnacentral:rRNA from 1 species
GACGAACGCUGGCGGCGUGCCUAACACAUGCAAGUCGAACGGAACUGUUUUGACAGAUUUCUUCGGAAUGAAUUUGAUGUAGUUUAGUGGCGGACGGGUGAGUAACGCGUGAGUAACCUGCCUUCAAGAGUGGAAUAACAUUCUGAAAAGAAUGCUAAUACCGCAUGACAUAUCAGAACCACAUGGUUUUGCUAUCAAAGAUUUUAUCGCUUGAAGAUGGACUCGCGUCCGAUUAGUUAGUUGGUGAGGUAACGGCUCACCAAGACCGCGAUCGGUAGCCGGAGUGAGAGAGUGAACAGCGACAUAGGGGAUGAGACACGGCCCCGACACCUCCGCGAGGGAGAAGAGGGGGAUAUAGUGCAAUGGGGGCAACACUGACGCAGAGACGCGGCGUGAAAAAGGAGGGUUUUCGGAAUUUAUAAUUCUUUUAUUAAGGACGAAAAAUGACGGUACUUAAUGAAUAAGCCCCGGCUAACUACGUG